rnacentral:rRNA from 1 species
GACGAACGCUGGCGGCGUGCUUAACACAUGCAAGUCGAACGGUAAGGCCCUUCGGGGUCCACGAGUGGCGAACGGGUGAGUAACGCGUGAGUAACCUGCCCUUCACUCUGGGAUAACAGUUGGAAACGGCUGCUAAUACCGGAUAUUCAGCUCCUGUCGCAUGGUGGGGGUUGGAAAGUUUUGGUGGUGGAGGAUGGGCUCGCGUCCUAUCAGCUUGUUGGUGGGGUGAUGGCCUACCAAGGCGUCGACGGGUAGCCGGCCUGAGAGGGCGACCGGCCACAUUGGGACUGAGAUACAGCCCAAACUCCUACGGGAGGCAGCAGUGGGGAAUAUUGCACAAUGGGCGGAAGCCUGAUGCAGCAACGCCGCGUGCGGGAUGACGGCCUUCGGGUUGUAAACCGCUUUCAGCAGGGACGAAGCGCAAGUGACGGUACCUGCAGAAGAAGCACCGGCUAACUACGUG